AAUACGGAGAGAAGAAGGGGGGAAGAGGGGAAAAGGGGCGAAAGCCGGAUCCAGCCAUGCCGCGUGUGUGAAGAAGGCCUUCGGGUUGUAAAGCACUUUCAGUGGGGAAGAAAGCCUUGGGGCUAAUACCCUCGAGGAAGGACAUCACCCACAGAAGAAGCACCGGCUAACUCCGUGCCAGCAGCCGCGGUAAUACGGAGGGUGCGAGCGUUAAUCGGAAUUACUGGGCGUAAAGCGCGCGUAGGCGGUCUGAUAAGCCGGUUGUGAAAGCCCCGGGCUCAACCUGGGAACGGCAUCCGGAACUGUCAGGCUAGAGUGCAGGAGAGGAAGGUAGAAUUCCCGGUGUAGCGGUAAAAUGCGUAGAGAUCGGGAGGAAUACCAGUGGCGAAGGCGGCCUUCUGGACUGACACUGACGCUGAGGUGCGAAAGCGUGGGUAGCACACAGGAUUAGAUACCCCAGUAGUC
rnacentral:rRNA from 1 species